rnacentral:rRNA from 1 species
UACGUAGGGGGCAAGCGUUGUCCGGAUUUAUUGGGCGUAAAGAGCGUGUAGGCGGCCAUGCAGGUCCGUUGUGAAAACUCGAGGCUCAACCUCGAGACGCCGAUGGAAACCGCAUGGCUAGAGUCCGGAAGAGGAGAGUGGAAUUCCUGGCGUAGCGGUGAAAUGCGCAGAUAUCAGGAAGAACACCCGUGGCUAAGGCGGCUCUCUAGUACGGUACUGACGCUGAGACGCGAAAGCGUGGGGAGCGAACAGG